GCUUGUGCCCAGGCCAGCCUGCAUGUGCUCAACCUCGUCGGAUCUUAGACGCUAAGCAGGGUCGGGCCUGGUUAGUACUUGGAUGAGAGAAGAAGAAAAAACGUUUUGGAAUUCUGUCCUGUCUACCAGUG
rnacentral:rRNA from 1 species